UCCUGCCAAGACUAAUGCUCUGGACGGGUGGCUGAAACUCGUGCUAACCGGGGAUAUACCGAGUAGAACUUGAGCAGUAACCAGUACUGACUAUGAAGGGUCCACGUGAAAGAGCUGGGGAAGAAAAAACAAACAGUCCCAAAAGACUGGAAACUUCGUGAGAAACGGAGGGACCGUCACGGUAUUCCAAAAGGAAAGCAGGAACCCGCGUUGACUUUGGUGGGAGUGUCCCCAGGAGAUGGGAGGGGUCAGAACAGUCGAGAAAAAAAAUAAAUAAACACAAGACUAGUGCAAGUAGGGCAAGUGCCAGGACUGAGUGAGUAGGUGUGCUGGGCAUAGGGUUAGCCAACUACUUAUACGGUGAGCAUGGCAGCGCUUAUAGGGUUGGCACAAAUAAUAAUACAUCAUUUACUUAUAGAUGAUAAAGGAUGGACAUUCCUUACACAGCAAGGCAUUGCUUUUCAUUUCCUGAGUGAAUAGGUAUGCUGGGCAUAGGGUUGGCACAAGUGACCAGCUAUUUAUAAGGUGAUUAUGGUGGGGCUUAUAGGGUUGGCACAAAUAAUAAUACAUCAUUUACUUAU